UACGUAGGGUGCGAGCGUUGUCCGGAAUUACUGGGCGUAAAGAGCUCGUAGGUGGUUUGUCGCGUUGUUCGUGAAAACUCACAACUCAAUUGUGGGCGUGCGGGCGAUACGGGCAGACUGGAGUACUGCAGGGGAGACUGGAAUUCCUGGUGUAGCGGUGGAAUGCGCAGAUAUCAGGAGGAACACCCGGUGGCGAAGGCGGGUCUCGUGGACAGUUCCUGACGCUGAGGCACGAAAGGUCAGGGGAGCAAACGGG
rnacentral:rRNA from 1 species